rfam:Anopheles maculatus strain maculatus3 cont1.5516, whole genome shotgun sequence.
AGCAAUACUGCACUGGUAAGGUAUGGAUCCGAACCCUCUUGAAGGUCAACAAAGGCUCUCCAUACCCUACUUCGACUCAAUACGUCCCCGGCGUAUAGAACGGUAACAUGUCUCUCCAAAUAUCUGAGCUUGGGUAUACGGGGAAUCCCAACCCCUUGGGAAG